rnacentral:rRNA from 1 species
AUGAACGCUAGCUACAGGCUUAACACGUGCAAGUCAGGGGCAGCAUGAAUCAAGCUUGCUUGAUUGAUGGCGACCGGCGCACGGGUGCGUAACACGUAUCCAAUCUACCCAUGGCUCAGGGAUAGCCUUUCGAAAGAAAGAUUAAUACCUGAUGGUUUCAUGAGCCCGCAUGGACUUAUGAAUAAAGAUUUAUCGGCGAUGGAUGAGGAUGCGUCCGAUUAGAUAGUAGGCGGGGUAACGGCCCACCUAGUCGACGAUCGGUAGGGGCUCUGAGAGGAGGAUCCCCCACAUUGGAACUGAGACACGGUCCAAACUCCUACGGGAGGCAGCAGUGAGGAAUAUUGGUCAAUGGGCGAGAGCCUGAACCAGCCAAGUAGCGUGAGGGAAUGACUGCCCUAUGGGUUGUAAACCUCUUUUGUUUGGGAAUAAAGUGAGCCACGUGUGGCUUUUUGUAUGUACCUUACGAAUAAGCAUCGGCUAAUUCCGUGCCAGCAGCAGC